UACGGAGGGUGCAAGCGUUAGUCGGAAUUACUGGGCGUAAAGCGUACGUAGGCGGUUUGGUAAGUCGGUUGUGAAAUCCCCGGGCUUAACCCGGGAAUGGCAUUCGAUACUGCCUGACUGGAGUAUGGUAGAGGGAAGUGGAAUUCCGGGUGUAGCGGUGAAAUGCGUAGAUAUCCGGAGGAACAUCAGUGGCGAAGGCGGCUUCCUGGACCAAUACUGACGCUGAGGUACGAAAGCGUGGGGAGCAAACAGGAUUAGAAACCCGAGUAGU
rnacentral:rRNA from 1 species